GAGUAUCCCAGUGGUUGACAAUGCCAGGAACAAGCGUCAGAGGAACCCUCGCGAUGAGAAACUCACCUCUAUACCAGACAGCUUCUUCUUCAAACACCUGACCACAGGAGACAAGCACACCACGUGUACCCACUGCAGGGGGUGUCUGACUCAGUUAGUGGACAGACGGUGGUGGACCCUAAAGGUUACCUCAACUCUAUGAUCCCCACACACGGAGGAGACAUCAGGGGAGUAGCCCCGGAGAAUAAGCACACACACACACACAUUUGGACACACAUUUGUUGCGUAUCUGUAUCUCUGUCUGUAUUGUUGAUCGUCUUUUUGUGUGUGUUUGUGUGUGUGUGUGUAUUGACAUUAAGAGCCCCCCCACACCACCACCACCACCUGGAUCACAUUGGCCAGGCUAGAGGGGGUGACUGGUAAACUACAGAUGACCAGGAACCUCAUCAUGAAGGGCAUCGAUAUGUGUCCCAAGAGUGAGGAUGUGUGGCUGGAGUCUGCCAGGCUGGAGCUAAGGGAUACGGCCAAGGCCGUGGUGGUCUAGGUGUUGUGUCACCUCCCCACGUCUGUACGCAUCUACAUCAGAGCUGCUGUGCUGGUGACCGAUGUCAGAGCCAAGAAACGUGUCCUCAGGAAGGGCCUCUUCACUCAAGUGGCUCCACCAUCCCACUGGCCUGCACGACUGUACUAGGCAUGGGUCACAAGUUCUCUCUUUUCUUCACUAGGCUCAACAGUGAGCACUAUUACCAUCAGGUAAUGUAUUCUUGGGUUGAGUGUGACAAGGCAGGCAACGUGCCAGGCGGUGACCCGGGCGAUAAUUGGUAUCGGCAUCGAGGAGAGCUGUAAACACACCUGGAUGGAGGACGCAGAGAGUUGUGUGUCCCAUGGGUACUGGAGUGUGCCCGUGCCAUCUAUGCCCACACCCUGCAGAUGUUCCUCAGAAAAAUGAGUGUGUGGCUCAGGUCAUCUUACUUCGAAAAGAACCAUGGCACCAGGGAGUCUCUGGAGGCUGCAGAGGGUGGUGGCUCACUGUCCUGUGGCUGUUGGGGACCAAGGGUGGUGGCUCACUGUCCAAGUGGCUGGCUGAGAACGUGCCUGCUGCUUGCAGCAUUCUGGCUCUGGCCUUACAGCUUGCUAGCUUGAGCUAACCCUAACAGUGAAGAGAUAUGGUUGGCUGCUGUGAAGCUGGAGUCUGAGAAUAAUGAAAAUGAAGCCCGUCUGGCCAAGGUUGUAGCAGUGCUCCUACUUCCAGGCUUUAUGCGACCUCACGGCACCAUGGCAACCACGGUUGGAGUUUGUGAGACUGGAGUUCAGGACAUGGCUGAAGAACAUCGCCAACACACUGAUGGCUAAAGCCCUACAGGAGUGCCCCAGCAGGUAUAUUGUGGGCUGAGGCAGUGUUUUUUGAGGGCCUGCCACAGAGGAAGACGAAGAGUGUUGAUGCUCUGAUGAAGUGUGAACACAUCCUGCACGACAUUGCCAAGAACGACACACAUUAUUUUUCUCUCUCAAAAUCUCCCCUUCUCUUGCCUCUACUUUUCACUGUUAUACUUAUGACAUCCUUCCCGUUUUGUACUAUCUCAGUAGGUCAAACUCUCCCCCUCUCUGCUUACAUUCCUUCAGGAGAACAAACUCUCCCCCUCUCUGCUUUCAUUCCUUCAGGAGAACAAAUUCUCACCUAUCUCUGCAUUAAUUUCUUCAGUAGGUCAAACUCUCCCCCUCUCUGCUUUCAUUCCUUCAAUAGGUCAAACUCUCCCUCUCUCUGCUUUCAUUUCUUCAGUAGGUCAAACUCUCCCUCUCUCUGCUUUCAUUUCUUCAGUAGGUCAAACUCUCCCUCUCUCUGCUUUCAUUUCUUCAGUAGGUCAAGCUCUCUCUCUCUCUGCUUUCAUUCAUUCAGGAGGACAAACUCUCCCUCUCUCUGCUUUCAUUUCUUCAGUAGGUCAAAAUCUGUCUCUCUCUGCUUUCAUUCCUUCAGUAAGUCAAACUCUCCCCCUCUCUGCUUUCAUUUCUUCAGUAGGUCAAACUCUCUCUCUCUGCUUUAAUUUCUU